GAUGUUUCAGAUACAGCAAAAACAGCUGCUUCUCUAAACAAAGUGAGUAUCAAGUUAACUAAAAUUAGGCAAAAAAAACCCUCUCUAAAACUUGUGAUGACUGCAUGAAUAUCAAAGUUUGAAAUGAUGUCAGACGAGCUGCAUUAGUCACAGUAGUGAGUAUUACUUUUCCACCUGAUAUGCUGACUAUAUGUAAAAUGCCAUUGGUUUGUGUGGCUGGGAUGGUUCAUCUCUGACUGUUCAAACCUCUGAGUCACCACAAGUGGAGAACAAAGGAGGUACUUCUCAUUGAUUUCAUCUCACUUUUAGAGUCCCACAUGGUUUUCACACAGGCUGAGGAGCACAAAGCUGUCACGGCCGCCACCGCCAACCUGCCGAGAGCGAUCGAUAGAUCAUCGUAACGGCAAACCGAUGAGCGGACGGUCGUUUUGCGUGCAACCCACCACAUGUAGCGCUCCGGGAUCGCCUGCAGUGAGAUUCAAGCAGAGCGUGUGAAAACGAGCGAUGGAGAGGCUCCAUGGGGCCCGUACGGGGACGGUAGCCCACGGACAGGAGGCACAAGCUGUUCCAGACUGGGAGACAGGUGGCGCUGGGUUCACACAGCGGGCCGUGGGUGUGUGUCCUCCUCCAGCCCCCGCCCACUCCACGCUGAUGUCACUGACUCACCCGGACUGAUGCUCCCAUCAUGGGAAAAAGUCGAAAACAACAGAUGAGUGCAUUGGGCUUCUGUCUGAGCGGGUUCAACCAGGACACGUUCACUUCGAUCUGAAUCCUAGUGCGCUCCCUCUGUAGACAGCGUUUUAAGAUGUCAUCUUAGCUGUGCGUGUAUCCCAGAAUGCACUGCGAUGAGCUCCGUGAACAAGAAGUCUAAAGUCUAUUUGCUUAGCAGUACCAAGAUUGAAUUAAUGCAGAAAGUACAUCAGGAGAUACAAUUGUAAAUAAAAGCGUGAAUACAAAACAAAUAUUCAAAACAUAAUCAAGAGUAUAACAAAUAAUAAUAUAUACAUAUACAAACACGUCCAUACACGCACAUAAGCAUACAUAUAAAUACAUAUUCA